GAAACCCCUAGUCAAGUG
rnacentral:rRNA from 1 species